UACGGAGGGGGCUAGCGUUGUUCGGAAUUACUGGGCGUAAAGCGCGCGUAGGCGGUUUCUUAAGUCAGGGGUGAAAUCCUGGAGCUCAACUCCAGAACUGCCUUUGAUACUGAGGAUCUUGAGUCCGGGAGAGGUGAGUGGAACUGCGAGUGUAGAGGUGAAAUUCGUAGAUAUUCGCAAGAACACCAGUGGCGAAGGCGGCUCACUGGCCCGGUACUGACGCUGAGGCACGAAAGCGUGGGGAGCAAACAGG
rnacentral:rRNA from 1 species